AGCCCUACUGGAUAGUAGUGCCACCAACUAUCCUACAAUCAAACGGCGCGUUUUGACCAAUUUUCUUUUUGCCUUACAAAUGAUUUAUUUCGAGGAUCAUGUGAAGACUGCCGCUAAAGUAACAGCAUUUGUAAAAGCUCCCUGAAGAAACGACACCGACACGCUCAGCCUAGACGUCUACCUAUCCUUAAAAGAUAUUACCAAAAAGAUUGUUUUAUUUAAUAAAAAGUGACAGACACACACACACACACACAGACACAGAGUAGACCAAAAGACA